rnacentral:rRNA from 1 species
UUUCCAGACUCCUACGGGAGGCAGCAGUGGGGGAUAUUGCACAAUGGGGGGAACCCUGAUGCAGCGACGCCGCGUGGGUGAAGAAGCGCCUCGGCGCGUAAAGCCCUGUCAGCAGGGAAGAAAAUGACGGUACCUGAAGAAGAAGCCCCGGCUAACUACGUGCCAGCAGCCGCGGUAAUACGUAGGGGGCAAGCGUUAUCCGGAUUUACUGGGGGUAAAGGGAGCGUAGACGGCGGCGCAAGUCCGGAGUGAAAGCCCACGGCCCAACCGUGGGACUGCUCUGGAAACUGCGCGUCUUGAGUGCGGGAGGGGCAGGCGGAAUUCCUAGUGUAGCGGUGAAAUGCGUAGAUAUUAGGAGGAACACCGGCGGCGAAGGCGGCCUGCUGGACCGUAACUGACGUUGAGGCUCGAAAGCGUGGGUAGCAAGCAGGAUUAGAUACCCGGGUAAA